AUUGCAGGAUGAUUGAAUAAUAUUUCAAUUUCAGAAAUCUUCGUCUAGUGGAAUAUCUUCUCCAAUAUCCCUGGAAAAGUGGAGUAGAGAGAAAAAUGUGUACAGUUGUCCCAAAGAGAAGUUUCCAGGACUCAAAGCAAAGAUAAAAAAGAACCUGGUUGGUUAUGUGGAUCUACAAAGUAGAAUGGUUCAGUACGCCAGCAUGUCCCACAGCGUAGAAGAUGCAACAAAGAAGACAGCAACAGCGUCAACCUUCCUGAGGAGGGUGGCAGGAAAGAUAGCGGAGAAGCAGAACACCGGCCUGGAGCACGC